GCCGGGGUGGCGAAAUUGGUAGACGCACGGGACUUAAAAUCCCGAGGGCACUUAUCUGCCCGUGUCGGUUCGAGUCCGACCCCCGGUACCA
rnacentral:tRNA from 1 species